CUUACUAGACAAUAGUCUGGUUGUGUGUUUACAUCUGAAAGCCAUUGGAGUUUAUUCUGGUGCACAGUUCAAGGUAUGGAUCCAACUUUAUUCUGCUGAGAUAGCUACCAAGCUAUGCCAAUACCAUUUAUGGAAUAGUCCAAUUUGCCCUGAAGAAUUGGAUGCCACUUCUAUAAUACACUAAAUAUCUAUAGUUUUGGGACUUGCCAUUCUGUUCCAGUGGUCUGCCUAUACAUUCACCAGUAACACUGUUCCAAUUAUCAAGGCUUUCCAAUAUGUUUCCAAUCUGUUUGGGCAAGUCUCAGCUCCUUGCUCUUCUUCAAACUUAUUUUGUCAAAUCAGAACAUAGGAAGGAAAAAAAAAUACCCUACUAUCCUGUCAUUUCAUUUAAAAAAGACAUUAACACCAAAACAGUAAGAAGAACAAAAUCUCAGAUAAUAAUCCUUUAAACUGAAUAAUUUAGCUUUAUGAAAAAUGUCAGACAUUGUCAUUAUUUGCCUAUUUUGCUGCAAGCCGGUAAGAUGAGACCAGCAUUGUAGAGCCACGCUUGGUCUUGGUAUAGGUGUAAGGAGAGGGAGGGCCACAGAGAGGAUGUCACUGGCUAGUCAGUUGCAGGCUCAGAACUUUAACUCAGGUCUUAUGAUCUCUGGUCUCAUCCUCUUAACACCGCCUACAUUCUAGGUCCACUACCCUUUAUUGAGCUUUCACUCUGGGCAGGCACUUUACAUACUUUAUGCAUUUUCUUCUCACAACGGCCCCACAAGGAAGCUGUUCAACCCCUGUUAUAUGAUACACAUGUGGAAACGGAGGUUCAGGGAAGUUCAGUAAUUUGUCCAAGGCCACCUGGUGGGUAAGUGGCAGAGCCUGGAUUCAAACCUACAUAUGACUGAUUUCAAAGUCUGUAUUUUAAAAAAAAUUUCAGUCCUCUAUGUAUCAAUAGACUAUUAUUUUAAAUUCUUUAUUUUUAUUUAUUUUUUGCAUAGAAUGAAACUUCCUUGGGUUCUGAGUAGCAUGACAGCUAUUAGCUUGUCAGUCUUCAUAAAC
rnacentral:lncRNA from 10 species